rnacentral:rRNA from 1 species
AUUGAACGCUGGCGGCAGGCCUAACACAUGCAAGUCGAGCGGAUGAAGGGAGCUUGCUCCUGGAUUCAGCGGCGGACGGGUGAGUAAUGCCUAGGAAUCUGCCUGGUAGUGGGGGAUAACGUCCGGAAACGGGCGCUAAUACCGCAUACGUCCUGAGGGAGAAAGUGGGGGAUCUUCGGACCUCACGCUAUCAGAUGAGCCUAGGUCGGAUUAGCUAGUUGGUGGGGUAAAGGCCUACCAAGGCGACGAUCCGUAACUGGUCUGAGAGGAUGAUCAGUCACACUGGAACUGAGACACGGUCCAGACUCCUACGGGAGGCAGCAGUGGGGAAUAUUGGACAAUGGGCGAAAGCCUGAUCCAGCCACGCCGCGUGUGUGAAGAAGGUCUUCGGAUUGUAAAGCACUUUAAGUUGGGAGGAAGGGCAGUAUGUUAAUACCUUGCUGUUUUGACGUUACCAACAGAAUAAGCACCGGCUAACUUCGUG